CCUACGGGAGGCAGCAGUGAGGAAUAUUGGUCAAUGGUCGGGAGACUGAACCAGCCAAGCCGCGUGAGGGAUGAAGGUACAGAGUAUCGUAAACCUCUUUUGUCAGGGAACAAAGGCGGGGACGCGUCCCCGGAUGAGUGUACCUGAAGAAAAAGCAUCGGCUAACUCCGUGCCAGCAGCCGCGGUAAUACGGAGGAUGCGAGCGUAAUCCGGAUUUAUUGGGUUAAAAGGGUGCGCAGGCGGUCUGUUAAGUCAGCGGUCAAAGCCCGGGGCUCAACCCCGGCACGCCGUUGAAACUGGCAGUCUCGAGUUGGAGAGAAGUAUGCGGAAUGCGCGGUGUAGCGGUGAAAUGCAUAGAUAUCACGAGGAACCCCGAUUGCGAAGGCAGCCUGCCGGGGUGCGACUGACGCUGAGGCUCGAAGGUGCGGGUAUCAAACAGGAUUAGAUACCCGAGUAGUC
rnacentral:rRNA from 1 species